AAUGAACGCUGGCGGCGUGGUUAAGACAUGCAAGUCGAACGGUGUUUUAGCUGUAGCAAUACAGUUGAAACGCAGUGGCGAACGGGUGCGUAACACGUGAACAAUCUACCUCCAAGUGGGGAAUAGCUCGCCGAAAGGCGAAUUAAUACCGCAUAUGGUGGUCUCUCUCCUGAGAGGCCAACCAAAGUCGGGGACCGCAAGGCCUGACGCUAGGAGAGGAGUUCGCGGCCUAUCAGCUAGUUGGCGAGGU
rnacentral:rRNA from 1 species